rnacentral:rRNA from 1 species
CCGAGUUAUCCAACUCCCAACCCCUGUGAAUUAUACCUUUAAUUGUUGCUUCGGCGGGACUUCGCGCCCGCCGGGGACCCAAACCUUCUGAAUUUUUUAAUAAGUAUCUUCUGAGUGGUUUAAAAAAAAUGAAUCAAAACUUUCAACAACGGAUCUCUUGGUUCUGGCAUCGAUGAAGAACGCAGCGAAAUGCGAUAAGUAAUGUGAAUUGCAGAAUUCAGUGAAUCAUCGAAUCUUUGAACGCACAUUGCGCCCGUCAGUAUUCUGGCGGGCAUGCCUGUUCGAGCGUCAUUACGCCCCUCAAGUCCCCUGUGGACUUGGUGUUGGGGAUCGGCGAGGCUGGUUUUCCAGCACAGCCGUCCCUUAAAUUAAUUGGCGGUCUCGCCGUGGCCCUCCUCUGCGCAGUAGUAAAGCACUCGCAACAGGAGCCCGGCGCGGUCCACUGCCGUAAAACCCCCCAACUUUUUAUAG